GUUGAAACACCGGUUCCCAUACGAUCACCGGAGUUAAGCAACAUCAAGCCUGGUCAGUACCUAGAUGGGUGACUGCUUAGAAAUACCAGAUGCUGUAAG